rnacentral:tRNA from 2 species
UGCGGUCGUGGCGGAAUUGGCAGACGCGCACGGUUCAGGUCCGUGUGGGCUAACCCCCGUGGAGGUUCGAGUCCUCUCGACCGCAUCCA